GGACCGUUAGCUCAGCUGGUAGAGCAGCUGACUCUUAAUCAGCGGGUCACAGGUUCAAUCCCUGUACGGUUCACCA
rnacentral:tRNA from 1 species